rnacentral:rRNA from 1 species
UAAAAACCCCGACUUCGGAAGGGGUGUAUUUAUUAGAUACAAAACCAAUGCCCUUCGGGGCUCUUUGGUGAUUCAUGAUAACUAUACGAAUCGCACGGCCUUGCGCCGGCGAUGGUUCAUUCAAAUUUCUUCCCUAUCAACUUUCAAUGUUUGGGUAUUGGCCAAACAUGGUUGCAACGGGUAACGGAGGGUUAGGGCUCGACCCCGGAGAAGGAGCCUGAGAAACGGCUACUACAUCCAAGGAAGGCAGCAGGCGCGCAAAUUACCCAAUCCCGACUCGGGGAGGUAGUGACAAUAAAUACUGAUACAGGGCCCUUUCGGGCCUUGUAAUUGGAAUGAGUACAAUUUAAAUCCCUUAACGAGGAACAAUUGGAGGGCAAGUCUGGUGCCAGCAGCCGCGGUAAUUCCAGCUCCAAUAGCGUAUAUUAAAGUUGUUGUGGUUAAAAAGCUCGUAGUUGAACCUUGGGCCUGGCUGGCCGGUCCGCCUCACCGCGUGCACUGGUCCGGCCGGGCCUUUCCCUCUGUGGAACCCCAUACCCUUCACUGGGCGUGGCGGGGAAACGGGACAUUUUACUU